rnacentral:rRNA from 1 species
GAUGAACGCUGGCGGCGUGCUUAACACAUGCAAGUCGAACGAAGCACUUGAGUUUAUUUCCUUCGGGACGGAUUAUGUUGUGACUGAGUGGCUGAGGGGUGAGUAACGCGUGGGUAACGUGCCUUGAACAGGGGGAUAACAGUUGGAAAAAGCUGCUAAUACCGCAUAAGCGGACAGCGUCGCAUGAUGCAGUGGGAAAAACUCCGGUGGUAUAAGAUGGACCCGCGUUGGAUUAGCUAGUUGGUGAGGUAACAGCCUACCAAGGCGACGAUCCAUAGCCGAUCUGAGAGGAUGACCGGCCACACUGGGACUGAGACACGGCCCAAACUCCUACGGGAGGCAGCAGUGGGGAAUAUUGCACAAUGGGCGAAAGCCUGAUCCAGCGACGCCGCGUGAGCGAAGAAGUAUUUCGGUAUGUAAAGCUCUAUCAGCAGGGAAGAUAAUGACGGUACCUGACUAAGAAGCACCGGCUAAAUCCGUG